UACGAAGGGGGGCUAGCGUUGCUCGGAAUUACUGGGCGUAAAGGGCGCGUAGGCGGACAGUUUAGUCAGAGGUGAAAGCCCCAGGGCUCAACCUUGGAAAUGCCUUUGAUACUGGCUGUCUUGAGUUCGGGAGAGGUGAAUGGAACUGCGAGUGUAGAGGUGAAAUUCGUAGAUAUUCGCAAGAACACCAGUGGCGAAGGCGGCUCACUGGCCGGUACUGACGCUGAGGUGCGAAAGCGUGGGGAGCAAACAGG
rnacentral:rRNA from 1 species